GUGCUUGCUUCGAUAGCACAUGUACUAAAAUUGGAAACGAUACAGAGAAGAUUAACAUGGCCCCUGCACACAAAUGACACACAAAUUCGUGAAGUGCUCCCUAUUUUU